rnacentral:rRNA from 1 species
UACGGAGGGUGCGAGCGUUGUCCGGAAUCACUGGGCGUAAAGGGCGCGUAGGUGGCGCGGGAAGUCAACGGUGAAAGUUCAGGGCUCAACCCUGAAUCGGCCGUCGAUACUCCCGGGCUUGAGCACUGUAGAGGCAGGUGGAAUUCCGGGUGUAGCGGUGGAAUGCGUAGAGAUCCGGAAGAACACCGGUGGCGAAGGCGGCCUGCUGGGCAGUUGCUGACACUGAGGCGCGACAGCGUGGGGAGCAAACAGG